UCCCAUGUGGUCUAGUCGUUACCAGGAUUCCUGGCUUUCACCCAGACAUCCCGGGUUCAAUUCCCGGCAUGGGAA